rfam:Triticum urartu cultivar G1812 contig1036998, whole genome shotgun sequence.
GUACUCCUCCCUCCGUCCCAAAAUUCUUGUCUUACGUUUGUCUAGAUACAGAUGCAUCUACUACUAAAACGCGACUUGAUACAUCCGCAUUUAGACAAAUUUAAGACAAGAAUUUUGGGACGGGGGGAGUAGUAC